rnacentral:rRNA from 1 species
ACAUUCGGUUGCUUUCACAUGCAAGUCGAACGGUAACACGUGAUAGGAUGCUGACGAGUGGAGAAGGGGUGAAGAGAAGCGGAGCGUGGGAGCAGUGGGGGAGAGGGGGAAAAUUAGGGAUCGGCCGUUGACAUCUACGGAUGAAAGCAGGGGACCGUCGGGCCUUGUGCUACUACACCGGCUGAUGGGACAUUAUGGAAUUGGCGGGGUAAAGGCUUACCGAGCCUGCGAUGUGACGAUGGCCAGAUAGGAUGACCAGCCGACCUGGCACUGAGACACGGACAAAACUCCUACAGUCCGACGCGAGGGGGAAUUUUGGACUAUGGGCCAAAGCCUGAUCCCCCGAUGCCGCCUGGACGAUGAAGGGCCUCAGGUUGUAAACUGCUUUUGUACUUUCCGAAAAGACUGGGGCUAAUAUGUCCGGGUCAUGACGCAUUCAUAAUAAUAACCAACGACUAACUACGUGCCUCCAUCCCCGGUAAUACGUAAGGUGCAAGGGUUAAUCGGAAUUACUGAAUUACUGGGGUGCGCGCGCGGUUUUGUAAUACGUUGGUGAAAACCCCGGGCUCAACCUGGGAACUGCCAUUGUGACUGCAAAGCUAGAGUGCGGCAGAUUGGGAUGGAAUUCCGCGUUCCAGGUGAAAUGCGUAGAUGUGCAGAGGAACACCGAUGGCGAAGUGGAUCACGUGGGCCCGUGCUGACGCUCAUGCACUAAAGCGUGAGAGAGCAGACGAGAUUACAUACCCUGAUACUCUGCUCCCUAAACCAGGUCACCUGGUUGAUUUGUCUGAUCUGACUCUGAAGCGAGGCUACCGCAUGUAGUUGACUGCCUGGACAGUACGGGCACUACGGUCGACACUGAUAAGAUUUGACUGAGAUCCCGCACAAGCCGGCAGCAUGCUGUGGAUUAUGUCGAUGCAUCGCGAAACAACCUUACCCAACCUUUGCACACUCCUAGGAAAUUCUACCAGACAUUGCUAUAGAGGGCAUUGAUGGCAUCUGCACACUCGUGCCGCAUGGCUGAUCGUCUGCUCGUCUGUCUCGAGAUUGUGAGGUGUAGUCCUCAAUCCAGGCCACAACACUUGACCCCUUAUGCCUUACGUGCGUCGAAUUCCUCUAUGGAAACCUGCCCGGAGAACUACCGGGAAAAGUGCGGGGGGGGGAAUGGACGUGCAAGUCCUCUAUGAGCCAUUUAUGGGUGCCGGUCCACACAGGCCUAACCACGUGGCGUGACCAGAAGGUUACAACCACGCGAGAGGCUGACG